rnacentral:rRNA from 1 species
UACGUAGGUGGCAAGCGUUGUCCGGAUUUACUGGGCGUAAAGAGCGCGCAGGCGGUCGUUCAAGUCGCGUGUGAAAGCCCCCGGCUCAACUGGGGAGGGUCACGCGAUACUGAUCGACUCGAAGGCAGGAGAGGGAAGUGGAAUUCCCGGUGUAGUGGUGAAAUGCGUAGAUAUCGGGAGGAACACCAGUGGCGAAGGCGACUUCCUGGCCUGUUCUUGACGCUGAGGCGCGAAAGCUAGGGUAGCAAACGGGG